rnacentral:lncRNA from 1 species
AAUCCAGGAUAAGAGUUUAGCAUAUUGGAACUAAAAGAUCCUGUUAUGGCUGCGUGUCGAUAUCACUCGCAAGCCAUGCAGUGUGCACGCACGACGAGCGCGAUAAAAGUUGUUUCAUUGGCUGCCAAAACGGAAUUUUGAGGAGCUAAUUAUUUAGGAAAUAUUUUAUGUAAUUGUAUGUAUUGUUUGCAAUGUGAUUUCAUGAAAUAUUUGCUUUGUUUCUCAGCUGAUUUGAGAUUUCGUUCCCGUGUUUUUAAGUCACAAUGCGAAGGCGAUCAAAAACUGACAUAAUGCUCGUGGUUCGAUGCAAAUCUCAAACGGUACGCCCUCCGUCCACACCGCGAGGUUUCCGAGUGACGGUGAAUGGGCCUAUACUUUUACGCGACUACGUGACUUAAAAGUUAGUACGUUGCAAGGUUUACGUGAAAGAAUGGGCCCUAUAGGCCCAUUAACCAUCACUCGGAAAUUAACGGAAGAAAGCUUUUAACAAUGCCGUGAGGAGCUUCAUAUCCGACAAAUGCUUAAUAUGAAAUAUACAAAUUUAUUUUAUCCGGAUCGUAUAAACAGUGUUAGUUGAUAUCAGUCGACUUGCCUCAAAAAAUUCAUCGCGAUCCUGAAGAAGUACUUGAAGGAAUAUAAUGAAAGUAAAAAUGGUUCUACUGAAACAAGUGUUUAUCACUCUUCAACUGUUGAAGUUUCGACGUCAUUUGCAAUCGUCUCAGAUAAUUUCAAUUUUAAUAUUUGCAGUAAUAGCAAUGAAAAAGAUAAUGGUAGUAGUAUUAUAAAAGCACUCUACUCAUUUAUGUUAUUAAUGUGGUAAGAAAUAAUAUUAAUAAUUAUAAUUGCCCGAAAUUGACCCGCGAUUUAUUGUAUAAUAUAAUACACUGGUUAUUGGGAGCUUGAAAUAUUCGAUUUUGUGCUGAAUGUUGAACAAGUCGGAAACGGGAAGCUCGGUGCGUCAGGUAUGAAUGAUUUUGUUGAUAUUUUAAGUAAUAAUGUUUGGGUACACGAUGCUUUCAUUUCUACGUAACUAGUAGUGGUUAUCCGUUGACAUCUCCUAAGGGGUACCAAUUUGACCCAAAAGAAGCAACUUUAACACCCGGCAGGUAGUAGUAAUAUAAAAGCACUCUACUCAUUUAUGUUAUUAAUGUGGUAAGAAAUAAUAUUAAUGAUUAUAAUUGCCCGAAAUUGACCCGCGAUUUAUUGUAUAAUAUAAUACACUGGUUAUUGGGAGCUUGAAAUAUUCGAUUUUGUGCUGAAUGUUGAACAAGUCGGAAACGGGAAGCUCGGUGCGUCAGGUAUGAAUGAUUUUGUUGAUAUUUUAAGUAAUAAUGUUUGGGUACACGAUGCUUUCAUUUCUACAUAACUAGUAGUGGAUAUCCGUUGACAUCACCUAAGGGGUACCAAUUUGACCCAAAAGAAGCAACUUUAACACCCAGCAGUAAUAGCCACAUUUUAUGUAAAAGAUUACCAUUAUCUUGAUGUUGCAGACGCGAAAACACAGAUUUAAUUUGAUAUUCACAGUUAGCAGCCAUAUUGUUGCGAGAAGAUUGGCGGACAUAACUAACUUCACUAAUUUGAUAAGUGCUCGACAGCGAUGGGCAAGAAGUGGUUGAAUAAGAUCAACGCUAGUUUCUUAUCUGUUUGACAUUAGUGGAUUAACAAAAUUCAUGAUACCACUUCUAACUUGGAAAAACAAAUAACUAUAAAAAGACUCUUCUCAUUAUUUAUUUUCUAGGCAAGUUACGGAUUUCAUAUAAUACUGCCACUAAGUGCCAAGCAUUUAGGCUCUGACCAUCCCACCUACUUCAAAGAUAAAGGAGCGCUGGUGGUGGUGGCCGGUGGUAGGUGAAUGGAAGAAUCCGUCGAGAACUCCCCGCAAUCUCGAGCAUGAAUGUGGAAUGGUAUAUUUUUGCAUAGUUCCAGGACAUUAGAGGAAGCCAUGAGGGAUUUUGAUACAAUACAUGCAUUAUGGCAUCUACAACCAACCGCUCGAGACGCCAAAUUUCUUUGAUU